AUGGCGUCGCCGUCGCAUGUCAGGGACAGCGGCGCCGACGACUUGUUCUACCGGGUGCUGCAAUCACUAGAAGCACGAGACUUUAUACUCGAGGGCCAAGCACAAUACAUCGCCCAAGACGUCGACGACAACAGGCACCAGCUGCGACAACAGCAACCGCAACUAGAAUACACCGACGCCCUGUUUCGCGAGCUUACUGCCGUCGAUUUUAAUUCCGAUGUAGCCAUGGCGGACACAGACGACCCUGAUGCUCCAGACGACCCGGCGUUGGGCGAGGCACUGAAGACCGUGGAGGCGCCGUCCGACGGGCAGGGCUGCCCGAUCUGUAUGGAGGAGGACGCCGAUGAAGACGCAGCGACGGGCGCGUGGAAGGAGACGCCGUGCGGGCACCGGUUCCACGGGCGGUGCGUGGAGAGGUGGCUGCACGCCAAGGGGAGCUGCCCCAUGUGCCGGCGCCAGGUGGUGACCAUGCCCGCCGCCGCCGCCUCUAGUAUCAGUCCCGCUGGAUUCUCAGAUUUUGAGCUGGCGGUGGCGGGACUUGAGGAUGCCAUCAUCGAGUUCAUGCGUGAGAUUGCAUCUUAUGAUAGGUCUUAG
rnacentral:rRNA from 1 species